AAUCGAACUCGGAGAUAGCUGGUUCUCCCCGAAAUAGCUUUAGGGCUAGCGUCGAGGUAAAGUCGUGUGAAGGUAGAGCACUGAAUAUGUGAUGGCCCCAUCUCGGGGUACUGAACAUAAUCAAACUCCGAAUGUCACAAAGAUAUACUCGGCAGUCAGACAGUGGGUGAUAAGGUCCAUUGUCAAAAGGGAAACAGCCCAGACCAUCAGCUAAGGUCCCAAAAUAUAUACUAAGUGGAAAAGGAUGUGGAGAUGUCCAGACAACUAGGAGGUUGGCUCAGAAGCAGCCAUCCUUUAAAGAGUGCGUAACAGCUCACUAGUCGAAUGACUCUGCGCCGAUAAUUUACCGGGGCUAAGUAUAUUACCGAAGCUAUGGAUUUACGCGUAAGCGUGAGUGGUAGGGGAGCGUUCUAUGUGCGGAGAAGCGGUACCGUAAGGAGCCGUGGAGCGCAUAGAAGAGAGAAUGCCGGUGUGAGUAGCGAAACGUGGGUGAGAAUCCCACGCACCGAAAACCCAAGGUUUCCAGAGGAAGGUUCGUCCGCUCUGGGUAAGUCGGGACCUAAGGCGAGGCCGAGAGGCGUAGUCGAUGGACAACAGGUAGAGAUUCCUGUACUUACGGUAUGAAUGAUGGAGUGACGGAGAAGGCUAGCGGAUCCUGCUGAUGGAAAUGCAGGUGCAAGCGAGGUAGCCGACAGCCAGGCAAAUCCGGCUGUCGAAAGGCAAAGGCGUGAGGCGUAUGGAAAGCUGCGGCAAGUACAGAAGUCCGUGAAGCCAGCUUCCAAGAAAAGCUUCUAGUGAUAAUCAUACAGUAACCCGUACCGAAAAUGGACACACAUGGGUGAGGAGAGAAUCCUAAGGUGAGCGAGAGAACUAUAGCUAAGGAACUCUGCAAAAUGACUCCGUAACUUAGGGAUAAGGAGUGCUCAUAGAGAUAUGAGCCGCAGUGAAACGGCCCAAGCGACUGUUUACCAAAAACACAGCUCUAUGCUAAGUCGAAAGACGACGUAUAUGGGGUGACGCCUGCCCGGUGCUGGAAGGUUAAGAGGAUGUGUCAGCGCAAGCGAAGCAUUGAAUUGAAGCCCCAGUAAACGGCGGCCGUAACUAUAACGGUCCUAAGGUAGCGAAAUUCCUUGUCAGGUAAGUUCUGACCCGCACGAAAGGCGUAACGAUUUGGGCGCUGUCUCAGCUGUAGACUCGGUGAAGUCUUAGUACCUGUGAAGAUGCAGGUUACCCGCGACUAGACGGAAAGACCCCAUGGAGCUUUACUGUAGCUUGAUAUUGGACUUUGAUGCAAGAUGUACAGGAUAGGUAGGAGACUGAGAGACAUGCACGCCAGUGUGUGAGGAGUCAAUGUUGGGAUACUACUCUUCUUGUAUUGGAGUUCUAACCGGAUGCCAUGGAACUGGCAACGGGACAGUGUCAGGUGGGCAGUUUGACUGGGGCGGUCGCCUCCCAAAGAGUAACGGAGGCGCCCAAAGAUACCCUCAGCUUGGAUGGAAAUCAAGCGCAGAGUGCAAAGGCAUAAGGGUGUUUGACUGCGAGACCUACAAGUCGAGCAGGGACGAAAGUCGGGCUUAGUGAUCCGGCGGUGCUGAAUGGAAAGGCCGUCGCUCAACGGAUAAAAGCUACCCUGGGGAUAACAGGCUGAUCUCCCCCAAGCGUCCACAGCGACGGGGAGGUUUGGCACCUCGAUGUCGGCUCGUCACAUCCUGGGGCUGUAUUCGGUCCCAAGGGUUCGGCUGUUCGCCGAUUAAAGUGGCACGCGAGCUGGGUUCAGAACGUCGUGAGACAGUUCGGUCCCUAUCUGUUGCGGGCGUAAGAGAUUUGAAGGGAGCUGUCCUUAGUACGAGAGGACCGGGAUGGACGUACCUCUGGUGCACCAGUUGUCCUGCCAAGGGCAUAGCUGGGUAGCUAUGUACGGACGAGAUAAACGCUGAAGGCAUCUAAGCGUGAAACUCCCCCUAAGAUUAGAUCUCUCAUUCGAAAGAAGUAAGGCACGACGUAGACUAUGUCGUUGA
rnacentral:rRNA from 1 species